AUCGGGGUUGCGGACAGUGUCUGGUGGGUAGUUUGACUGGGGCGGUCUCCUCCUAAAGAGUAACGGAGGAGCACGAAGGUUGGCUAAUCCUGGUCGGACAUCAGGAGGUUAGUGCAAUGGCAUAAGCCAGCUUGACUGCGAGCGUGACGGCGCGAGCAGGUGCGAAAGCAGGUCAUAGUGAUCCGGUGGUUCUGAAUGGAAGGGCCAUCGCUCAACGGAUAAAAGGUACUCCGGGGAUAACAGGCUGAUACCGCCCAAGAGUUCAUAUCGACGGCGGUGUUUGGCACCUCGAUGUCGGCUCAUCACAUCCUGGGGCUGAAGUAGGUCCCAAGGGUAUGGCUGUUCGCCAUUUAAAGUGGUACGCGAGCUGGGUUUAGAACGUCGUGAGACAGUUCGGUCCCUAUCUGCCGUGGGCGCUGGAGAACUGAGGGGGGCUGCUCCUAGUACGAGAGGACCGGAGUGGACGCAUCACUGGUGUUCGGGUUGUCAUGCCAAUGGCACUGCCCGGUAGCUAAAUGCGGAAGAGAUAAGUGCUGAAAGCAUCUAAGCACGAAACUUGCCCCGAGAUGAGUUCUCCCUGACUCCUUGAGAGUCCUGAAGGAACGUUGAAGACGACGACGUUGAUAGGCCGGGUGUGUAAGCGCAGCGAUGCGUUGAGCUAACCGGUACUAAUGAACCGUGAGGCUUAACCUUACAACGCCGAAG
rnacentral:rRNA from 1 species